rnacentral:rRNA from 1 species
AAGUUUGAUUAUGGCUCAGGAUGAACGCUGGCGGCGUGCCUAACACAUGCAAGUCGAACGAAGCACUGGAGACGGAGAUUCGUCGAAGUUUCCUUUGACUUAGUGGCGGACGGGUGAGUAAUGUGUGAGCAACCUGCCUUUCAGAGGGGGGACAACAGAUGGAAACGACUGCUAAUACCGCAUAACGUACGAUGGGGGCAUCCCCCGAUGUACCAAAGGAGCAAUCCGCUGAAAGAUGGGCUCACAUCUGAUUAGCUAGUUGGCAGGGUAACGGCCUACCAAGGCUGCGAUCAGUAGCCGGACUGAGAGGUUGAACGGCCACAUUGGGACUGAGAUACGGCCCAGACUCCUACGGGAGGCAGCAGUGGGGAAUAUUGGGCAAUGGGCGAAAGCCUGACCCAAGCAACGCCGCGUGAAGGAAGAAGGUCUUCGGAUUGUAAACUUCUUUUAUGAGGGACGAAGGACGUGACGGUACCUCAUGAAUAAGCCACGGCUAACUACGUGCCAGCAGCUGC